UAAUACGAAGGUCCCAAGCGUUAUCCGGAUUUAUUGGGUUUAAAGGGUGCGUAGGCGGACUAUUAAGUCAGUGGUGAAAUCCUGCAGCCUAACUGCAGAAUUGCCAUUGAUACUGAUGGUCUUGAGUACAUUUGAGGUAGGCGGAAUGUGUCAUGUAGCGGUGAAAUGCUUAGAUAUGACACAGAACACCGAUUGCGUAGGCAGCUUACUAAACUGUAACUGACGCUGAGGCACGAAAGCGUGGGGAGCAAACAGGAUUAGAUACCCUGGUAGUCCACGCCCUAAACGAUGAUCACUCGAUGUGUGCGAUACACUGCACGCGUCCGAGCGAAAGCAUUAAGUGAUCCACCUGGGGAGUACGGCCGCAAGGCUG
rnacentral:rRNA from 1 species